ACGUUGCGGCUACCAAAGUAGCCCUUAAUAAACCCCACCGCCCCGCCACCUCGCCCACCAUCCAGAAACUCGAAUCGUAGACACGAACGACUACUUGAGAGAGGAGAGGCGGCGGGAGAGAGAAGAGUCGACGACGACGGUAACCGGCCGCCAUGGAGGUGAGGGUGCCGCUUCUUCCGCAGCACAUAUUGCGGAACGGCGACGGACGGGAGAAGAAGUGCGGCGUGAGGCGGUGGAGGGAGCUGCUAGCGCGGGAGGCCGGGAAGGUCGGCUGCGUGGCCCUGCCGAUGGCGGCCGUGAGCGUGUCGCAGUACGCGGUGCAGGUGGCGUCCAACAUGAUGGUCGGCCACCUCCCCGGCGUCCUCCCGCUCUCCGCCUCCGCCAUCGCCACCUCCCUCGCCACCGUAUCCGGUUUCAGCCUCCUCAUUGGUAUGGCAAGUGGACUGGAAACUCUAUGCGGUCAAGCCUAUGGAGCAAAACAGUAUGAUAAACUGGGGAUGCACACCUACAGAGCUAUAGUCACACUCAUUGCUGUGAGCAUUCCAAUCUCACUUCUGUGGGCAUUCAUAGGCAAACUCCUGAUCCUCAUAGGUCAGGACCCCUUGAUCUCAAGGGAAGCUGGGAGAUACAUAGUCUGGUUGAUUCCAGGUCUCUAUGCAUAUGCCAUCAGCCAGCCUCUCACAAAAUUUCUACAGUCUCAGAGCCUGAUAAUUCCUAUGCUUUGGUCCUCCAUUGCAACUCUGCUCUUGCACAUUCCUCUUUGUUGGUUACUAGUGUUCAAGACCAGUAUGGGGUACAUUGGAGCUUCUUUGGCAAUAAGCUUGUCGUAUUGGUUAAACGUGAUGAUGCUUGCCGCUUACAUCAGAUACUCGGAUUCUUGUAAGGAGACCCGCUCACCUCCAACCGUUGAGGCCUUCAAAGGAGUCAGUGUGUUUCUACGCCUGGCUCUGCCGUCUGCACUGAUGUUGUGUUUCGAAUGGUGGUCUUUUGAGAUCCUUAUUCUUGUCUCAGGAAUUUUACCAAAUCCAGAGCUGCAAACUUCAGUUCUUUCAAUCUGUUUGACGACUAUCACAUUAAUGUAUACUAUACCUUAUGGGCUUGGAGCGGCUGCAAGCACUAGGGUAGCAAAUGAGUUGGGUGGUGGUAACCCUGAAGGAGCUCGAUCAUCUGUUCGUGCCAUCAUGUGUAUUGCAGUGAUGGAAGCAGUUAUGGUCACAGUCAUAUUGUUAGCGUCACAGCACAUCUUGGGCUACGCAUAUAGCAGCGACAAGGAUGUCGUCGCGUAUGUCAAUGCAAUGGUUCCCUUUGUGUGCGUCUCCGUUGCUGCUGACAGCCUACAAGGUGUUCUAUCAGGUUACAUCUCUUAACUUCCUUCAAUCGUUUAUCUGUCUCUCUCUUCAAAUCAAAUCAAAGUAUGAAGGAAAAGUAUUUUCAUGUUUUCGGAACCUCGCAAACGCAUCUUCGAAUUAUACCUGUGAAGUUAUGAAACAAACAAACUCGUUUUUUGCUCUCCAUACCAAACUACUGCACCUUUUACCCCCAUAGUUUGAUUUGCAUUAAUUCAAUCGGUGUGCUCCUCUUAAUUUUGGUAACAAGCCCUGUCAGGUGGCAAUCAGUCAUGCCAAUGUCAUGUAUACCAGGUAAGAUGCCCAUUCUGUUUUUCACUUUGUUCCACGAUACUAAUGCUAUUCUGUGUUGUGGAAGCAAUACUUUGUUACUCGGGGAGUCACUUGUUUGUCCCUUCGAAAAAUGGGCUCUUACGUGAACAUGGAUGCCGGUGUUUUCAUUGACACGCAUCUAGCAGAGAUGUUACCGUAAGCAGGCUCCACGUCACUAUGUGUUGCCCGAGGAUGCGGGUGGCAGCACUUGGGCGCCUACGUCAACCUGGGCUCGUUCUACCUCGUCGGGAUUCCAACAGCACUCUUCCUCGGCUUCGUUCUGAAGAUGGAAGCGAAAGGGCUUUGGAUGGGCAUUUCCUGCGGCUCCAUAGUGCAGUUCUUGCUUCUUGCCGUCAUAACGUUCUUCAGCAACUGGGAGAAGAUGUCUGAGAAGGCAAGGGAGAGAGUUUUCAGCGAUGAUGAGCCGUCAGAUAAGGGAACUUCGGAUUCCGAUGGACCGAGUUUUGUUCUAGUUUUGGCACGAGCCAUCUGAAUCUGAUCCCCCUUGUGAAGACGCAGCGGACAAGAUCUUGUAGACAAAGAAGCCCAUCUUGGAAUGGGGUUUAUGAUGCCUUGCUUUCUGGUCUCUGAACUGAAUGUACAGGGAACUUGUUGAACUCUGACCACUGUUCUGUGCUCCGUGCUCGUGCUUGCUGUUGUUUGUUAAAACAACGGGACAAUUGUAGCAGAAACAUGACUACAUGAGGCUUCUGAUGCUAUGGUAGAAAUAGUAACCACACUUUUGCAACUUUGCAUGUCUGUACCCUGCUUUAUUUGUGUGACCGUGGGGUUGCUCCAUUAUUUUCUGCACCAACAGCUCAUCAUCGACUUA